GUAGGUGGCAAGCGUUGUCCGGAAUCAUUGGGCGUAAAGCGCGCGCAGGCGGUUCUUUAAGUCUGAUGUGAAAGCCCACGGGCUCAACCGUGGAGGGUCAUUGGAAACUGGAGAACUUGAGUACAGAAGAGGAAAGCGGAAUUCCACGUGUAGCGGUGAAAUGCGUAGAGAUGUGGAGGAACACCAGUGGCGAAGGCGGCUUUCUGGUCUGUAACUGACGCUGAGGCGCGAAAGCGUGGGGAGCAAACAGGAUUAGAUACCCUGGUAGUCCACGCCGUAAACGAUGAGUGCUAAGUGUUAGGGGGUUUCCGCCCCUUAGUGCUGCAGCUAACGCAUUAAGCACUCCGCCUGGGGAGUACGGCCGCAAAGGCUG
rnacentral:rRNA from 1 species